GGGGGGCUGUGCUCCAGGCAGGGGGCAAACACAUGCGAAGGCCCUGAGGUGGGAUUAUACCUGGGGUGUUCAGGAGUAGCAAGGAGGCCAGUGUGGAGCAGAAUGAGUGGGAAAGAAGCAUGAGUGGAGCUUCUAGAUGCAGCAGGAGCUGGACCAAGGAAGAGUUGGGCUGGGAUUCAGUUCGAAGCCUGCAGGGAAAGCCACUGGAGAGUUUUAAACCAGAGGUUAUCAGAUUUGCACUUUGAGAUCCGUUCAACUGCCAUGUGGAGAAUAGACUUUAGGGGGAGCCAGAGGGCAGCAGGGAGAUCAGCAAAGAGGCUGAAACGGGUGUCCCAGCAAGAGAUGCUGGAGGGUGGACCAAUGAGGUUGCCGUGGUGAUGAGAGGGGACAUGGCUAGAGGGGAUGUUUUAGAGACAGAAAUGACAGACUUUCUGGAGGAUCUUGAAUGCCAAACUGGGAGUUGGACUUGAUCUGGGUGUGGGGAGCCUUGGAAGGUUGCAGAGGGAGAGUGGGGAUGGGGCCUCAGGGCACCUCCCUACGCUGGCAGGAGGCUACCAGGUGCCUGAGCAAGUCCAAGGAGCUGAUGGAGGCUGUGCUGAGGGACCCGGGCCUACUGGGCCUCCAGCGGGAAGGUGGAGCCACCCUGGCCAGGCUGCAGCGUGAUGCCAGCAGGCUGGACUUCAGCCCUGAUGUCAGGAGCCAUCUGGCUGCAGCCACUGCCUUGUACAGCCUUGUGGACGAGCAGCUUCAUGUUCUGGUCACCGCUUCCAACAGCCUCCUGGGGAAGCUGGAGCUCCGUGUCCGCCUGGGCCGCCUGGAAGCUGCCAUUCACCAGGUCAGCGACUGGAUGGAGCAGGAAGGAAGGCGGUGCCUGCAAACGCUGACCCCCAAGGAUGGAAGUUUGGAGACAGUGGAGAAAGCCCACGCAGAAUUUGAGAACUUCUUCCUCCAGGCUGCAGCUCAGUACCGCCGAGGCCUGGAGCUGUCCAAGCAGGCCGCUCAGCUGGGAGCUACAGCCAGAGGGGCUGGGGAGGCAGAACGUGCAGAGUUCCCAGAGCUGGCAGCCUUUGCCUCUACCCAGCGGGCCUUCCAGGCUAAGCUGACCCACUUUUACAUGGCGGCCGAGCGGCAACGCACGGACCUCGAGACGCUGCUCCACCUGCACCGCUUCUGCAAGAGGAUGACCUGGUUCCACAUGGACUGUCAGGACCUGAUGGCCCAGCUCAGGCUGGACAAGACCUCAAGGGUCAGUCCUGGGGACCAGCGCCGCCUCCACCGCUACCUGCAGCGACUGGCAUCUGAGUUCCCUGCUGAGAAGCUCGCAGCCGUGGGGCUGCAGGUGGCCUCCCUGAGCCGGGCAGGCCUGGGCCAGGAGCUAUGGGAGGAGGCCCGGAUCAGGCAUGAGGAGAUCCGGAUGCUCCUGGAGAAGGCACUGACCCACAGCUCUUGCCCAGAGGCUCCAGCUGCUCACUCGGCGCACCCAGAACGAAGAGGGGUGGCGGCCAAGGGCCAGGGUCUGAGUGUAGAGGUCACUUCCAAGGGGAGGUGGGAUCAGCCUCCACUAGACUCGCUGGGCAUGGACCAUUUGCCAAAGUCCUAUUGGCCUCCUGGGCCCCCCAGAGGGGAACAGAACAGAACUUUCCAGGCAGGCUCUCCACCCCAGGAAGCUGGCCAGGCUGCAGAGGCUGAAGACGGCAAAGGCUCCCACAAGCUGCCUGACCCUGCCCGCGAGCAUUUGCUUGCCACCACCUUCUUCCGGCAGCAGCCCCCCAGGCAGAGCCAGGUCCCUCACCUCACUGGGGGCAGCUUCUCCUCAGAGGGGACAGACUCAUAGACAUCCCUUGAGGACUCACCCCAGACAAGUCCCCUUGCCUCCCUCUAGCUGAGAGGCCCCUUCAGUGGCACCAGCCUCCAGGAGCACUGGGCCAGGGCCCAGCUGGAGGGGUAGCUGGGAGCUCUGGUCAGUCCCAGUGAGACAUCACCAUGGAGCACUGGUUUUACAUUCUGCCUCUGCUGGGAGGAUGAGAGCUGUCAACCUGCCCCUGGCUCCAGAAAACUCCUGGAAGACCCGAUCCUCACCCAUGCAGAAUAGCGAGAGUGGGCGUCAGAACCAGGGCACAAUAAAUGGUGUGAUUGGCUCCAUCCCUCCAGGCUCUCAUUGUGGAAAGACCUGUCAGCACAGACCCCUCCAGAGGCCUCGCUCGCAGGCAGGCAGACACCCACCUGAAGCUCAGGAACAUACACAGCUCUCCCCUCGGGUACGAGGGCCAGUGUUGCCCUUAUGCAGAAUCCUCGGGGAGAUUCGGGAGUGCUUCCUUGUCUUGGAUUCCAGGAAAAUGGACCCUGAGACGAGGAUUUAAGGAUCAGUGUGUUUGGUGCUGAUCCAGGAAUCUCUGCUGGGGGAGUAGGAGGUGAAUCUGCAAAGGGAAUAAAGAGUAUGUUGUCAAGCAAA
rnacentral:sRNA from 1 species